GGACGUGCUGGCGAUCUGGGCUGAGACAUCUGCACCCCAUGGGUGACCAGGGUUAUCUGGCCGAUCUUGCUGGCUGGGUGGGUGUCCCCUCCCUCCCUCACCGCUCCUUGUGUGCACUCAUUGGAAGAGGACCAUUACCCUGACAGAGGACUGAUUCCUCAGCCAGGGGCAUAUGAGUAGCCAUGUUCCCCUUCUACAGUCUCCAAACAAGCUCUCGAAUGAAGACACUAAAGCUCUAAGAGGUCAAGUUACUUGUUAGGAUCCUAUAGCUAAAUCAGAGCUGAGAUUGAGUCAUUUCAAACUCUGUCUGU
ensembl:misc_RNA 7SK 7SK RNA